ACCCUGCUGACGAGUCCCAAAGAGGACGAAACGCGCGUCCCAGAU
rnacentral:hammerhead_ribozyme from 1 species